rnacentral:rRNA from 1 species
GACGAACCGUGCGAACGUUAUUCGGAAUUACUGGGCGUAAAGGGCUCGUAGGCGGCCAACUAAGUCGGACGUGAAAUCCCCAGGCUCAACCUGGGAACUGCAUCCGAUACUGGAUGGCUUGAAUUCGGGAGAGGGAUGCAGAAUUCCAGGUGUAGCGGUGAAAUGCGUAGAUAUGCGGAGGAACACCGAUGGCGAAGGCAAUCCCCUGGGCCUGCACUGACGCUCAUGCACGAAAGCGUGGGGAGCAAACAGG